rnacentral:rRNA from 1 species
UACGUAGGGGGCAAGCGUUGUCCGGAAUCAUUGGGCGUAAAGCGCGUGUAGGCGGCUCGGUAAGUCCGCUCUGAAAGUCCAGGGCUCAACCCUGGGAUGCGGGUGGAUACUGCCGGGCUCGAGUACGGAAGAGGCGAGUGGAAUUCCCAGUGUAGAGGUGAAAUUCGUAGAUAUUGGGAAGAACACCGGUGGCGAAGGCGGCUCACUGGCUCAUAUCUGACGCUCAGGCGCGACAGCGUGGGGAGUCAAACAGG